UGUGGAGGGAAGACGACAGAAUUUCCUGGGUAGCAUUUGUCUGGGGAAGAUUCACACUUAACCUGCCAGAAGGCCCCGGCAGCUGGCCAUGAAACUUUGAAUCUCCUCCCAGAGUAGUAAUGGUUUUCAGAGUCCAAUCUUUGAGUUACUGGAUAUGAACUCAUCUCUGUUUCUUUGGAUUGAAAACCAGCAGAGGACUCUCUGGGUUCAGACCUGAACAUCGGGCGUGGACUUGAACCUUGGUUACAAGCACGGACUAUAAUGUCUGCUGGAUGGUACGGGGGAGUGAGCCCAUAAUUCUGAGUUAAAGGCCACUAUCUCAUUUAAUUGGAUCAGCCUUCUCAUAUAAAUCAAAGAACUCUAAGGCUUAUUCUUAUUUAGUGC
rnacentral:lncRNA from 1 species